rnacentral:rRNA from 1 species
UUUGUUCGAGUUGUUUUUACGGUGGGUAGGUUCUGUUCGUAUCGAGAGUCCUCGACGAGGUCCGAGUUCAAUCGGAAACCGUGGUACGUGACCCUAAGCAGUUCAGGUACCGUGAGUUUACACGUUACCUUGACGUUUAGGGAUUGUGGUAGGUUGUGGUACCACCCGAAUACUGGGGUAUUCUCAACCGGUGUUUCUAGCCGGAGGUAGGCAGAUUCGAAGGGGCGAAUGCCGCUGAGUACGCACACGAGUGGUAUAGUCCGUAGAAACGACAACUACUCCGUCGGAGCGGUCCGUUCCUCUAACAAAUGCCCGAAUGGAGUUGGUGUGCGGAUGAGCAGCACAGAAACUAAUUUAGUUUGAAUAAAGGAUAAGACAGAAACUACGAACUAAGUUGACAGUAACGGGGGAAAAACCCGUACGUGAGUACCAAGGAUCUACUCGUAAGGUCCAGGGACAAGUUUUUCCGAGUGUCGGAAUUGAAAACCCUCUACGGACUCGUCCUACUACGAAUGUUGGUCUAUGAGUUAUUACGUUACCAAAGCCUAUCAUUGAAAGAGUGCCUGUAGUAGAAUUCCCUCACACCACUACAUAAAGAACCGUAUUUGAGAGAAUAACUACAACCACCUCCGGUUCCACCUCGACGGUCCCGUUAACGCUAACGCAAGGGCGUUUACUUUACGUGGCACAACCUAGAGGGAGUACACUAACGUCUUCGAGGAUCACUACAGGUACACAGCAAAUAAAGACCGCUAUACAAAUUCAUGUAAGGCGGUCGUUUACGAGAAAAGGAUUUCACCCAAAAAGUACUAACCCCACUACUUCUGACACAGUUUAAUAACUUUUUAACGUUCCUUCGUUAGGGAGGGUCUCUACGACCACCUUUCCACUAUUAACAUCUAUACCACCAACCUAGACCCGAUUUACUCUAACAUUGUUCUCUCUGUGUACAAAACAUACUAGAUAAAUAGUACACGCAACUCCCCUAACUCGCUCUCCUUAAACUUACCUUUUCCUAUAAGUACCUUCGACCCAAGCCACUGAUGUUCUAAUAUAGUCACGACCCUCAAUCUAGACAAUAACUCGAGAUGGGAACU